ensembl:lncRNA
CUUUCCGCAGGUCGAAUUAGAUUUAGGAACAAGUUGUGGAUAAAAUGACAGAAGGGUAAUGAUGAGUGAGCUUUCUUUGGGCCAAGUGGGUCUGUGAUAGGAGCUGGUGUGGUGGUCACUUGCAAAAGAACUCUCCUUAAGAAGGUCUUCUCCCAGAGGCGAGGAGCCCUCUGCAGAGGGGGUUAGGGCUGUGCAGUUAAGAUGCAGAAGUUGAGGGGGUGUUGUUAGGGGCUUGCUGGAGGAGAGGCAUUGAAUGAGGAACCUCUGAAAAUGCUCCACAGAAAGAAUCAGCCCUGCGAACUUGCCACACCUGGAAGGCGCCACUGUUCUCCGGGUUUCCCAGGCGGGAGUCAGAGGACAAUUCGCAGCUACUCCUGAACUGCAAGCUCUCUGAGGGAUCCUGCGCAGAUCCCCUUCCCUAAGCUUGAAGCUAGAGGCAGGCCUCAGACACCCACCCACUGCCUUCGGUGGAGGCUCAUCAGGGCUCUCUACGCUUAGCCUUUCACGUCUUCGUUAUAGGCAGGAUGAUGGAUUCAAGGAGUUUUAAGCCAUAUCCUCCUUUGCAAAUGCACCAGGAUGGUCUGGUUCGCUACUCAUUUUGAAAUAUUGAUUCAUGCCUCCCGAAGAGGAAGAGUUCUGGUUUGAUGCUGCAGCAUUGUGCAAAUCAACUUGCAGGAGCAAGCAAACCUUUCAUGGAAGAGAAGAGCUUGCUCAACUCUCGCAGAAACUGAGGCUACCGCUAGAUUCAGACUUGUCCAAAUCCUGGUUCCACCCACGGGCAGAGCUCAGUUCUAAGCAGUUCUUUCUCAGUGUGCUUCCUGUGGGUGCCAUUAUAUUGAGAGAGCUGAAUUCAAAGGAGUGCCAGCAGAGGGGAACUGUGUCCUUCCCUAUUGACUAUCUCAGGCAGAUCCUGUAACUUCUUUAGUCAUCUCAGAUAAUAAAAAGUCCUCAAGUCGUUUUCAGACCCAAGGGUAAUCUUUGAGUAAUUAAAAUUCUAGUUGAGUGUCAUCAUGAUGUAACAGCUUUCCCUUAUCCAUUUGAAAGCUCGUUUGCACCUUCGUUUCAAGCCUGAUUAAAAAAAUAUCAAACCACACAGAAGAGUUUAUUAAAAAAGCAAUAGUCACCUGCCCCACCCCUCUCCCCAUCCUCAGGCUCACCGCCCAAGAAGGAGCCGUUGAUAAACUCUUGUUCGUUUUUGUGUUUGAGUGGUAAAUUUUAGUUGUAGGCAAAUUUACUUCAACCUCAGCUUCUCAGUUAGUACUCAGGUUCUCCCACCUGGCAGUGUUAAUGUUUUGGAGAAAUGAGGGGAGACCCCUUACAGACAAGCUGCGGCACUUGAGCCCUCUCACCUGGACCUUGCCCCGCUGAUGGUUUUGAGACAGCAGGUAAACUGAAGGCCUGUAUGAAGCACCAGAAGUCCAGGCUUGCUGCUGUGGUUUUUUUUAAGGCCAUUUGUUUAAAAGCUUUUUAAAAAUAGGAGUGAUGGUUUGUCAGAAGUCAUGCUUUGGUAAAUUUUUGGACCCAAAAGCCUGCUCUUGUAAGCCUGGCUGCGGUAGUAUUUGCAUGCAUUGGGUGUGGCUUUGAUUGCACUGCACUCAUGUGUUUGUUAAGUCUGUCUCUUGGGAGCAGUGCUCCUCCUGUGCCUUACUGUGUACAAAGAAUUGACUCAGUACAGCUGGUGCUGCCUUAAGACCAAGACCCUGACAGCGGACCCUCCUUGCUCUUUUAGCCACGCCUUCUGAGGCAGCUCUUCUAGCCACGCCUUCUGAGGCAGCUCUUCUGCAAGUCCGAUUGUAAGCUCCUUGAGGAUGAGAACUGAGUUUUGACUCCCUGUAUAGCCCCAGUAUCUGGUACAUGUUACAGAGGCCUGUUACGAAGCACACGUUUCCAGCUUGUUCCAGUGUCUGGGUCCAACGAUUUUCCCUUUCCUUCCUCCAAUUAGCCACAAGAUGGCAGCCUAAGCCACGCUGGUACUUAAUUUCCUGUGAGGAAGAAGUGGUGCUUUGGGUUAAAAUGCCCUUCUCUGAGCCAGAAGAGGAUCCCUUUGAAGUGAGAUUAAGUCACACAUUACAGAAGAUUUCUCUGAAAAUGUCCUCUGCAUCUUCUCUUCUUCAUUGACUCUGAGGAACAAUCUGGAAUACUAACAAGCAAGACAAAGGAGAGAUUUUCUUCUCCUUGCCUGAGGGGCCGUUGGGCUAUUUAGAAAACAGUUCUAGGGAGAGCACGGAGCUCUGAGCUCUGGGAAACAAGGACACCGGGGUGCGGUGGGGGUGUGGGGGGGAGUAUUUACUGACCCCCUCGUCACACUGUUUUGUGUAAACUGUGAGUUCUAGAGGUAAGGUCUAGAGCAGGGGGUCAGCAAACUAUGGCCCUAGGGCCAAAUCUGGGGCUCUGCUUGAUUUCGUAAAUAAAUUUACUUGGAACGCAGCCAUGACCAUUUGUUGACAUGUCGUCAGUCUUUUGCACAACUGUGAAUAGUUGUGACAGAGACCAUUUGGUCUGUAAAGCCAAAAGUAUUUACUAUCUGGUCCUUUCAGACAAAAUUUGGGCCAUGUGGUCUAGAGAGAUGUGAACUUUUUAGAAGACUUAGUAUUUGGUUAGCAUAUUUUGGGGAAAUAAUAUCUGGUUACCUUUUUGGGGAAAGACCUGUCUUUCUUUCCAAGAAGCAAACAUUCUGAGUGGAAAUGAUAUGGAUUCCUUGACGUUUCUUAGAGUUGUACCCGUAUGAGGCAGAAUUAUAUUUAUUAAUUCAUUUCAGGAAUUACGCAUUUAAGUAUACUGUAGCUUUUCUUUGUUAAGUAGAAAAUAUGGGUAUACCUGAGGUAAAUUCCUCGUCGUUUCUUAGCAUGCUUUCCCGUAGCAGGGCUGCGAAGUCACUCUUAUACUAAUUCCUUCAUUGGUCAAGAUACCCACCAACGGCCCCAUAGCCACUUACCUUUCAUUCAAGAAAUGUUCUUGAUGUGGAUGGUGUGGCUUAUUUAUGGGUUUGUAAGUGCUCAGACAUUGCUGAGUCAGAAUCACGUUAAUUUGUUUUGCAAGUUUUAAACAAAUACAUUUUCUGCAGAUUCUCUUCCUGACAAAGCAUUUUGGGUCAAGAUAGUAUACAUUCCUUACAGUUUCUUAGUGUUCUUAUGCUUACAAAAAGAGACAAAUCAAACUUAUUAUUUUUGCGCAUACACGGAUCAGAGAUUAACUGGCCCUUGCUGGAUCCGCUUAGUUGAAGCAGAUGAUUGCGGGCGGAAGGUCUGUUUUUGGCAAGACCUGCAGAAAGAAGCUGCCGGAAGGGAAAAUUCUCAGCUUGGGAGUCCUGAUGGGGAACAAAGCAGGUAUAAAGAGAAAAGAGAGUCCACCCGACUCUCAACUGUACCUUUUCUGUGGAAAGUUUUUCAGGCAGGUAGGGGAAAUUCUUCUGUAUGUUCCAAGGUAGUUAUGGAAUAGGGUUUCCCAUCUACCUAAGAAGGGAAUUGGGCAUGGGAGGCUGUCAGAGUCGUAUACUGUAUCCCGUCUUCUUGGAAUCCUCUCCAGAUUAUUGUAGUUAAAUUUAUUUGAAAAAUAGUAUAUGUUAUUUUCAAAACAUCCUUUUUUCCUUGCAUCCUCUAGCCAUUAUUAUUUAUUUACUUAUUUUUUUGAGGCAGAUUACCUCCGAGCUAACAUCUGCUGCCAAUCCUCCUCUUUUUGCUGAGGAAGACUGGCCCUGAGCUAACAUCCCUACCCAUCUUCCUCUACUUUGUAUGUGGGACGCCUGCCACAGCAUGGCUUGCCAAGUGGUGUCAUGUCCAUACCCGGGAUCCGAACCGGCGAACCGCAAGCCGCCAAAGGGGAACGUGUGCACUUAACCGCUGUGCCACGGGGCCAGCCCCUAGCCAUAAUUAUUUAUAUGAUUUAUAUUUAAAGAAUUCAGUGUUUUACUUCAUUUCUUUGCUGUUCUAGAGUUCUUAAUGUAGAUGUGUGCUUCAAUGUGCCAAUUUCUUCAAGCACUUUUAACAAUGAAGGUAUGUGUUCUAUGUUCUAUGUAUAUAUCUGCGCCCUUGCAUGUGUGAGAAUAUAUUUUUGACUCACAACCGUUUUCUUGAAAAAAUACUAUAAUUAAGUGUUGAAGGAUACUUUAAAAAGAUAUGGAAUCAUGACUCUCAUACAAAUAUAAAAUGAACAUGUGUCAAAGAUGGGAGAACCAGUAAGAUGUUACAGUUGACACAAAGGGAAAUUCACAGAACCACACAUUAUGUAGGCAAAUAAGGAAUGUUGGAAUGAAUUUAUAAAUAGGUGUAAAACAUGAGGCAGUAAUCGAUUAUAUUCCGCGGGACACAAUGAAAUUGCGUUUUCAUGGGCAAGAAUAAUUUAUAUGAUUCUCCAUUUUCUGCAACUUACAGAGUUGUAAAAUAGCUCCGUAACAAUGAAAGGUUGCUAUAACCUGGAAGCGCCUGCUAUAUGGCACACUCAGAAAUCUCUUUGGUCCAUUCUGACAUCUUUAACAAUUUUUCCCUAUAAUUAUAACAUUUACUAGUGUUUAGUAUGCCUAGUACAGUUAUAAACACACUAUAUAUCUUAACUCCGUAAACUCGCUAAAUUAUCUUUAUUUUACAGGUGAGAAAGCUGAGGCAUUGAGGUUUUAAAAUGCUCAUGGCAAAAUGGAAGAGUCGGGAUUUGAAAAAAAUAGCACGUAUACUAUCCUAGCUAUAUAAAAUUAUACAUACAUAUAUAUAUAUACGCACACAUAUACAUAUUCACACAUAUUAAAACAAGGGAAUUUGAUCUUUAUCACUAACUAAUGAGAUGUCUGUGCUUUGUGUUAAGACAAAAAGGGAAGGUGUGGAGUAAUGUGCAUAGAAUUAUUUUAUUUCUGUAAAAACAAACUAUCCUGGAUCAAUAGGAGCUCUCAUUUGCUGCUGGUGGAAAAGCAAAAUGGUACAGCCACUUUGGAAGACAGUUUGGCAGUUUCUUACAAAACUAAAUGUACUCUUAUCAUGUAAUCCAGCAAACUUUCUCCUUGGUAUUGACCCAAAUGAAUUGAAAACAUGUCCACACAAAAACCCGCACACAAUGUUUAUGGCAGCUUUAUUCCUACUUGCCAAAACUUGGAAGCAACCAAGAUGCCCUGCAGUAGGUGAACGCAUAAAUAAACUGGUAUGUACGGACAGUGAAUGUUAUUAGCACUGAAAAGAAAUCAGCUACCCAGACAUGAGAAGACAUGGAGGAACCUUAAAUGCAUAUUACUAAGUGAAAGAAGCCAAUCUGAAAGGCUGAAUACUCUAUGAGUCUGACUGUAUGACAUUCUGUAAAAGGCAAAACUAUGGAGACAGCAAAAAUAUCAAUGGUUGCCAGGGGUUGGGUGAGGGAGGGAUAAAGAAAUGGUGCACAGAGGUUUUUAGGGCAGUGAAACUAUUUUGUAUGAUACUACAAUGAUAAAGACAUGUCAUUAUACAUUUGUCAAACCCAUAGAAUGUAUAGUAUACAUUACAUUACUGUACUUUGCAACUAUAAUGUAAACUGUGGACUCUGGGUGAUAACGAUGUGUCAAUGUAGGUUCAUCGAUGGUAAAAAAAAAAGCCCCACCCUGGCGGGGGAUGCUGAUAGUGGGGCAGACUGUAUAUGUGUGAGGAGAAGGGGAUUUAUGAGAACUCUCUAUAAUUUCUACUCAAUUUUGUUAUGAACCUAAAACUGCUAUAAAAAAUAAAAUAUAUUUUAAAAAAAGCCUAAACCAAAC